GGGGAGGGGAUGCUCGGAUACUGGGCGUAAGCGCACGUAGGCGGCUUCUUAAGUCGGAGGUGAAAUCCUGGAGCUCAACUCCAGAACUGCCUUCGAUACUGGGAGGCUUGAGUCCGGGAGAGGUGAGUGGAACUGCGAGUGUAGAGGUGAAAUUCGUAGAUAUUCGCAAGAACACCAGUGGCGAAGGCGGCUCACUGGCCCGGUACUGACGCUGAGGUGCGAAAGCGUGGGGAGCAAACGGGAUUAGAUACCCCGGUAGUCCCAGCCGUAAACGAUGAGUGCUAGGUGUGAGGGGUAUCGACCCCCCUCGUGCCGCAACAAACGCAUUAAGUACCCCGCCUGGGGAGUAUAGUCGCAAGGCUGAAACUCAAAGGAAUUGACGGGGGCUCACACAAGCGGUGGAGCAUGUUGUUUAAUUCGAAGCAACGCGCAGAACCUUACCUGGGCUUGACAUGCUAGUGGUAGGAACCUGAAAGGGUAACGACUCUCGAAAGAGAGAGCUAGCACAGGUGUUGCAUGGCUGUCGUCAGCUCGUGUCGUGAGAUGUUGGGUUAAGUCCCGCAACGAGCGCAACCCUUAUUGUUAGUUGCUACCAUUUAGUUGAGCACUCUAGCGAGACUGCCCGGGUUAACCGGGAGGAAGGUGGGGAUGACGUCAAGUCCUCAUGGCCCUUACGCCCAGGGCUACAAACGUGCCACAAUGGCCGGUACAGAGGGAAGCGAAAUCGUGAGAUCAAGCAAACCCCAAAAAGCCGGUCUCAGUUCGGAUUGAGGGCUGCAACUCGCCCUCAUGAAGCUGGAAUCGCUAGUAAUCGGGGAUCAGCUACGCCCCGGUGAAUAUGUUCCUGAGCCUUGUACACACCGCCCGUCAAGCCACGAGAGCCGAGAGUGCCCGAAGUCGCCGGUACCAACCAGCAAUGGAGGGAAGUGUCGACGGCAAGCUCGGUGAUUGGGACUAAGUCGUAACAAGGUAAC
rnacentral:rRNA from 1 species